UUGCCCAAUGAUUAUAGCAAGACGCGUUAUUAUGAGGACUAAUGCUGGAACCUCUUCCUCCUUCUCCUUCUUUGUCCCUUCCUCUUUACCUUACCUCUCACUUCCCUUAAGGGUAUCCAGCGUCCUAUGAGCAAAAAUGAGAUAUGAGGGCAA
rfam:Cuculus canorus isolate BGI_N303 unplaced genomic scaffold scaffold266, whole genome shotgun sequence.